rnacentral:rRNA from 1 species
UGGGGAAUUUUGGACAAUGGGCGAAAGCCUGAUCCAGCAAUGCCGCGUGUGUGAAGAAGGCCUUCGGGUUGUAAAGCACUUUUGUCCGGAAAGAAAUCCUUGGCUCUAAUACAGUCGGGGGAUGACGGUACCGGAAGAAUAAGCACCGGCUAACUACGUGCCAGCAGCCGCGGUAAUACGUAGGGUGCAAGCGUUAAUCGGAAUUACUGGGCGUAAAGCGUGCGCAGGCGGUUUGCUAAGACCGAUGUGAAAUCCCCGGGCUCAACCUGGGAACUGCAUUGGUGACUGGCAGGCUAGAGUAUGGCAGAGGGGGGUAGAAUUCCACGUGUAGCAGUGAAAUGCGUAGAGAUGUGGAGGAAUACCGAUGGCGAAGGCAGCCCCCUGGGCCAAUACUGACGCUCAUGCACGAAAGCGUGGGGAGCAAACAGGAUUAGAUACCCUGGUAGUCCACGCCUAACGAUGUCGACUAGUUGUUGGGGAUUGCAUUUCCUUCAGUAACGUAGCUAACGCGUGAAGUUGACCGCCUGGGGGAGUACGGUCGCAAGAUUAAAACUCAAA